GCCUACGGGGCGCAGCAGUGAGGAAUAUUGGUCAAUGGGCGGGAGCCUGAACCAGCCAAGCCGCGUGAGGGAAGAAGGUACAGCGUAUCGUAAACCUCUUUUGUCAGGGAACAAAGGCGGGAACUAGUCCCCGGAUGAGGGUACCUGAAGAAAAAGCAUCGGCUAACUCCGUGCCAGCAGCCGCGGUAAUACGGAGGAUGCGAGCGUUAUCCGGAUUUAUUGGGUUUAAAGGGUGCGUAGGCGGUUCGAUAAGUUAGAGGUGAAAUCC
rnacentral:rRNA from 1 species